CCUGCAGGGCCGGGUACAGGGCCUGGAGAGAGGGCCCAGCGGCAGGAAUGCAGGGAAUGUUUUUCUUCGGACUCUGUCGAGGCACACAGACCGUCGGGGUUCUGUCUGCAGUGACAGCCUUAACAUUUGCCAGAGCCUCGGACGCUGCUAUAGAAAUGGCAUUGCCCACCCUGAAAGUGAGAAGCGCAGAUUAGAGAAACGCAGGGAACUCGAGAGCAACUAUUCUGCCUCCAGGAUCAACCUUGCACCGAAGAAAAAUAACCCAGAGAAAUUAUUCUUCAGCCUGAAACGAAGCCAGGAUCAAAUGGUUGGUGAUCAGAGCAAAUAUUUAAAUUGGAUAAGUCAAAUCGAGCAUUAUUAAAUAAAGCUUGUUUAAUAUGUCUCGAACAGA